GCGGGCGUGGCGGAAUGGCAGACGCGCUAGUCUUAGGAACUAGUGGCAACACCGUGCAGGUUCAAGUCCUGUCGCCCGCACCA
rnacentral:tRNA from 1 species